rnacentral:rRNA from 1 species
AGAGUUUGAUCAUGGCUCAGGAUGAACGCUAGCUACAGGCUUAACACAUGCAAUCGAGGGGAAACGACAUCGAAAGCUGCUUUUGAUGGGCGUCGACCGGCGCACGGGUGAGUAACGCGUAUCCAACCUGCCCACCACUUGGGGAUAACCUUGCGAAAGUAAGACUAAUACCCAAUGAUAUCUCUAGAAGACAUCUGAAAGAGAUUAAAGAUUUAUCGGUGAUGGAUGGGGAUGCGUCUGAUUAGCUUGUUGGCGGGUAACGGCCACCAAGGCGACGAUCAGUAGGGUUCUGAGAGGAAGGUCCCCACAUUGGAACUGAGACACGGUCCAAACUCCUACGGGAGGCA